rnacentral:tRNA from 1 species
GGCUUCUGUGGUGUAAUGGUUAGCACUCUGGACUCUGAAUCCAGCGAUCUGAGUUCGAAUCUCAGUAGAACCU